UGUAUCCUUCGGGGCGGGGUGAAAUUCCCCACCGGCGGUGAUGAGCUAAUGCUCUUAGUCCGUGACCCGUGUUCGUUUUCGAACCGGUGGAUUCGGUGAAAUUCCGAAGCCGACAGUGAUAGUCUGGAUGGGAGAAGGAUGAA
rnacentral:ncRNA from 1 species